CUACGGGGUGCAGCAGUGGGGAAUCUUAGACAAUGGGGGAAACCCUGAUCUAGCCAUGCCGCGUGAGCGAUGAAGGCCUUAGGGUUGUAAAGCUCUUUCAGCUGGGAAGAUAAUGACGGUACCAGCAGAAGAAGCCCCGGCUAACUCCGUGCCAGCAGCCGCGGUAAUACGGAGGGGGCUAGCGUUGUUCGGAAUUACUGGGCGUAAAGCGCGCGUAGGCGGAUUGUUAAGUCGGGGGUGAAAUCCCGGGGCUCAACCCCGGAACUGCCUUCGAUACUGGCAAUCUUGAGGUCGAGAGAGGUGAGUGGAAUUCCGAGUGUAGAGGUGAAAUUCGUAGAUAUUCGGAGGAACACCAGUGGCGAAGGCGGCUCACUGGCUCGAUACUGACGCUGAGGUGCGAAAGCGUGGGGAGCAAACAGGAUUAGAUACCCCUGUAGUC
rnacentral:rRNA from 1 species